rnacentral:ncRNA from 1 species
GCAGAGUAGGUUUAUAUGCGUUAAGUGCCCACCGGACAGAGAGUUGCCGGCGGGACGAAAAGCGCCGGCUGCCGCACAGGCGGGAGCCGGAUGCUUGCGGUAUAUAGGCCGCAUCUCGCUGC